UUCAUUUUUUAUUGCUUUUCAAACGACCAAAAGAUUAUAAUGAAUAAAUGAUUCUACUCGUACUGUAUAUAAUAUGUCGCAUUAUUUGUUUUCUUCUCUUCAUAGAUUUUCACUUUAAAUUGUAGCUUUUUAUUAAUAGUAGAUCGAUCUUUGUCAUCAAGUGUUAACUAAGACGUGUUUUGAAAUAUAUUAUAAGAACUGGUUAUUGUUUGUGAAUUCGAUUAAAUACUUACAUUUUUUAUAGUAAAAUAAAAUGUAUGCAAGGAUCCUAAGCAUCAUUAAAGUGUAAAGUUCAGCCGGUUGAGCUAUAAUUUUUUGUUGUGAAGUUCUGUUUAUUUGUGAAUGAUUCUGGAACAUCAUUCAAGGAUCAUCUUGGAAGAAUCAGCAUAUAAGUGGUAGCGUGUGUAAUGUGAAGUAUUUAUCCGAGAAUUACCAGAAAUUGAAAUUGAUUUUAAGGAUUGUUUUCCAACAUGAAAAUUAAAUAUAUUUCCAACAUUAAAUAAACGAUAUUCUUUAUGCAAUGUGAAAUUGUGGUAUUCUUUUUUAAUAA